GCUCCAAUAGCGUGUGUUAAAGUUGUUGCAGUUAAAAGCUCGUAGUUGGACUUCUGAAGGCAACAAGCGUCUUGUACGCCUGUGACUUCAUCCUUCUGUUAACAGUUCUUGGCCUUCAUUGGCUGGUGCUGGGCUCAGAUUCUUUACCAUGAGGAAAAUAGAUUGCUUCAGGCAGCUCGCGCCAGAAUACUUUAGCAUGG
rnacentral:rRNA from 1 species